GCAUAUCAAUAAGCGGAGGAAAAGAAACCAACAGGGAUUGCCUCAGUAACGGCGAGUGAAGCGGCAACAGCUCAAAUUUGAAAUCUGGCGGCCUCUGGGCCGUCCGAGUUGUAAUUUGAAGAGGAUGCUUUUGGCGAGGCGCCUUCCGAGUGCCCUGGAACGGGACGCCACAGAGGGUGAGAGCCCCGUAUGGUUGGACGCCGAGCCUCUGUAAAGCUCCUUCGACGAGUCGAGUAGUUUGGGAAUGCUGCUCAAAAUGGGAGGUAAACCCCUUCUAAAGCUAAAUACUGGCCAGAGACCGAUAGCGCACAAGUAGAGUGAUCGAAAGAUGAAAAGCACUUUGAAAAGAGAGUUAAAUAGCACGUGAAAUUGUUGAAAGGGAAGCGCUUGCGACCAGACUUGUGCCCGUCGAAUCAGCCGCCGCUCGCCGGCGGCGCACUUCGGCGGGCUCAGGCCAGCAUCAGUUCGCUGCAGGGGGAGAAAGGCGGCGGGAAUGUGGCUCUUCGGAGUGUUAUAGCCCGCCGCGCAAUACCCCUCGGCGGACUGAGGACCGCGCAUCUGCAAGGAUGCUGGCGUAAUGGUCGUCAGCGACCCGUCUUGAAACACGGACCAAGGAGUCGUCCUAAUAUGCGAGUGUUCGGGUGUAAAACCCCUGCGCGUAAUGAAAGUGAACGGAGGUGAGAGCUUCGGCGCAUCAUCGACCGAUCCUGAUGUUCUCGGAUGGAUUUGAGUAAGAGCAUAUUGGGCCGGACCCGAAAGAAGGUGAACUAUGCCUGUAUAGGGUAAAGCCAGAGGAAACUCUGGUGGAGGCUCGCAGCGGUUCUGACGUGCAAAUCGAUCGUCAAAUAUGGGCAUGGGGGCGAAAGACUAAUCGAACCUUCUAGUAGCUGGUUUCCGCGA
rnacentral:rRNA from 1 species